CUCUGUUCUGGUGUCUACCUAGUACACUCACUCACUCACUCACUCACUCACUUGACUCAGUGUUCCUUUGAAUCGAGCAGAUGGAGAAGAGGUCGGCAGCGAUGGCUCACAUUUAUCUUCGACUUUCUUUGAGCGGCGGACAGCCGUGUUGUUUAGCCGUUGUAAAAGUAAUACUUGCUCAAGCUGGAUGUUCCGUAUUUCGUUUUCACGACGAUACACAACUUGAUUGUACUUAGAACAACAACAACAACGAUUUGGCACAAUGUGGCCGUGGUUUGUGGCUUCUUUUCCCAUUAGACCUAAAGGUCGUUCAUGGGCUCGAAGGACGAAUUGAAGGCCACGCGAGUUUACUCGUUCAGUAGUCGAGGAACGAAUUCCAGCUCAUUUUACUCUGGCAUGGAUGAGUCUUCAAGGAAAUUAUUUUGUGCAGAAACUCGUGCUCUCAAAAACUUUUAUGGAACAGAAACGAACGGGCUCAACUCAAAACUAUACAGGCGUUCUUGAAUGUUUUUCUUUGGUUGGCAUCACUCAAAGGCGGCUUUGUCUCUAAAAAAUUAUGCACCCAGCGAUGUGUACCUUUGGAAUUACGUUCAUGGUCUCAAGUGGUGAACCAAUAUAAGUUUCGGCGCCAACCAGGUCGGGCAUGUUUACUGACAUCUCCAUAUGAGACCUUGUGAUUCAAUUGCCAGCAGCGCCUCUCUAUCUAAGGUGCUCACAAUGUACAAUCGUACUCUUGAAAGAAGCAGCCUUCAGUCGAAUUCAGUAUUGUUUGGAUAACUCAAACUCCUCCCUUAAAGGCCGAGGGUCUCUCUCGUCUUUCUUUUCUCUGCUCGUUUUUCGUUCUCACCCAUUCAUCCAUGGAGAGAAGGCAUUUUUCCGCUCUACCGCAAAGCCCUUCUAACAGGAUUCUAGCUCGAGUCAAUUCAAUCACCAAAUUCUAGCCAAACCCCAUGUGUGCACGGGUUGGUGGUGCCUGUGAGGAAGCAUAAAUAAGCCAACACUAGGGGGGAAAAAAUCCUCAGCCUGAUUGACUAAGCCUCUUUCGUUCCUCCAGAAAAGCAACUUUCUUACUUCAGGACGAAUUCAAGGACAGUUUCAGCUAGAUCUGCCACUUUUUGCGGCUUCGGCAAAUAACAAUUUAAUCAAAACACAGGGCCAAACAAUUGGGGUCGGGGAUUCGCUUCAAUUCAAACCGGUCGAAACGUGUUCCUUGAGGUUAGAGCAAAUGAAAAAUAGAAUCAGUGUUCGAGUCCACUGGCCUUGAUUGACCUCAACGAGCCUCUUGUUGACAUGCCUAUGUUAUCAAGGCAGCCUCGAGGUCAGCACCAACAAACAUGGAGCUUCAUGAUCUUAAACGGGGUUGUGUGCAAUCAUUUCAUGUACUCGUACCAAGUACUAAUUCCCUUAAUUACCCAUUCGGUCUGUAGGCUUCUAAUAACUCUGCACUGUUUUAUGAUCUUUAAAUGCAGAUUCAUUUACAUUAAUGUUGAAAAAGUAUGCAAUAUGUGUCUCGUGGCUGGCAUUCUCGGGGCAUUGGUCGAAAGUUUGGGUGUUGUGUCUUCAAAUGUAUCAUGCCAUGAAAAAUGCCGACUCAUGAUGCUGAUAAAAUGCCCAUCUUUGUGAUGCACAAUAUCUUCUCAGUUGGCUGAAAGUUUUGUCUGGCCUUUCUUGGGGGAAGAACACGAAGAAGGGCCCUGACGGUUGUUGAUGAUGAGCAGAUUCCAACACCCGACGGUCCACCCAUCCAAAGUCUCUGAGGCAUCAUCAAAUAUGGAUGACUAUGGUUUUUUCUUGGAGAGUGACAAGAAGCCCACUUUGCCAUCACCUUUCCUUCCCGGAUGAAAUGGAAGGAAAGAAUGAAGGAAAGCGAAACAAUAUUUCAUCAAAGAAUGUGGAUGGAUGUAUCAGGCCAUAAAUGAUAUGACAAAUUCGUUCUAAUCUAUGCUUUGAAACUUCCCACAACUUCUUCGAACUUCUCAAAGUGAGAAAGACCUACGACGAACACGAAAGCAAAGAACUACCAUCUAGCCGGAGGUUUUCUGCUCCAGGAUUGGGGAACUUGACUUGCUGCACCACCUUGGGGCCCCCACGUGACCCAUGGGGAUUGGAAGACGUGCCAUUUAUGACUUGGAUGGAUUCCAGUUCUGAUAGAUAUUCAUUUACGUAUUUGACUUCAGGACCCAUCUGAUUCGUUUCCUCAUCGAGUGACGCAACACAACGACAAGUUUUUCAAGUUUGACUCAAAACACACGAUAUCGACGAAUGAAGAGAGUGCUCGAACAAGUCCUGUUAAACAAAAAAUGGCCUUUUUGAGCUCUAAUGGAGCGGAGAAAGACUGAAAAAGCAAACAUUGACGACGCUAUGAUAUGAUUAGAACCCUUUAAAAAGACAGAAUGAGAUCAACACGAGGAAAAAUGUCCCGAGCUUUGUUCGUGUAUUCGAAAAUUUAGAGGUUUUUAUUAAAUAUGUAUACGUUCAUAUUGUUAUGGUAAGGCGAUUUUUUAUUUCCAUAAGCCGCCCAUUACAUCCCCUACCCAUCCCUCAUCAAGCUAGAACAACAAUUGCAGUGUAAAUAUGUUAUAGUCAUGAAAUCACCUUCGACCAACAGAGAACCAAACAAUCGAAUAAAACGCUACCAUCUA